rnacentral:rRNA from 1 species
UACGUAGGGGGGCUAGCGUUGUCCGGAUUUAUUGGGCGUAAAGAGCGUGUAGGCGGCCAGAUAGGUCUGCUGUGAAAACUCGAGGCUCAACCUCGAGCUGUCGAUGGAAACCAUCUGGCUAGAGUCCGGAAGAGGAGAGUGGAAUUCCUGGUGUAGCGGUGAAAUGCGCAGAUAUCAGGAAGAACACCCGUGGCGAAGGCGGCUCUCUGGGACGGUACUGACGCUGAGACGCGAAAGCGUGGGGAGCGAACAGG